GUGCUUGCUUUGGCUGCACAUAUACCAAAAUUGGAACGAGAGAGGAUUAGCAUGGUACCUGUGCAAGGAUAACAUGCAAAUUCAUGAAGCAGUCCAUAAUUAA
ensembl:snRNA U6 U6 spliceosomal RNA